UACGGAGGAUGCAAGCGUUAUCCGGAAUGAUUGGGCGUAAAGCGUCCGCAGGUGGCUAUGUAAGUCUGCUGUUAAAGAGUGAGGCUCAACCUCAUAAGAGCAGUGGAAACUACAUGGCUAGAGUGCGUUCGGGGUAGAGGGAAUUCCCGGUGUAGCGGUGAAAUGCGUAGAGCUCGGGAAGAACAUCGGUGGCGAAAGCGCUCUGCUGGACUGCAACUGACACUCAGGGACGAAAGCUAGGGGAGCGAAUGGG
rnacentral:rRNA from 1 species